UACGAAGGGGGCUAGCGUUGCUCGGAAUCACUGGGCGUAAAGCGCACGUAGGCGGAUUUUUAAGUCAGGGGUGAAAUCCUGGAGCUCAACUCCAGAACUGCCUUUGAUACUGGGAAUCUCGAGUCCGGAAGAGGUGAGUGGAACUGCGAGUGUAGAGGUGAAAUUCGUAGAUAUUCGCAAGAACACCAGUGGCGAAGGCGGCUCACUGGUCCGGUACUGACGCUGAGGUGCGAAAGCGUGAGGAGCAAACAGG
rnacentral:rRNA from 1 species